AGAGCAGAUUGGGUGAUCGCUGCUUCGCUUCAAAAAAGUGAAGGAGAGGAAAGUCCGGACACCGUAGGGCAGCGAGCCCGCUAACGGCGGGGCGUUUAGUCAAGUGCAGUGACGUUUUUGGCGUACACAUAGCAUUACUAAACGACGACAAGUGCAACAGAAAGUAGACCAGCCAGCAAGCGGCAGAAUGGCAGGGCCAACCGUAGCAGGUGAUGGGUGAAAUGGUGCGGCUCCUCAAGGGCUUAAUGUAAAAGCGCACCAGCGCGUGUGGUGACAUACGCGGCUAGGCAAACUCCUCGCGGUGCAAGACCAAAUAGGGAGACGGCAUUAGGGUGGCUCGUCCGAAGCGCUUCAUACGAAACGCGCUCGCGUCUCCGGGUAGGUCGCUCGAUCCAUUUGGCAACAAAUGGGCUAGAUGAAUGAUCGCCAUUCCGAGCUUGCUCGGAACACAAAAUUCGGCUUAUAGAUCUGCUCUAUGC
rnacentral:RNase_P_RNA from 1 species